rfam:TPA: Bos taurus chromosome 19, whole genome shotgun sequence.
UCCCUGGUGGUUCAGUGGUUAGGAUUUUGCCUUCUCAUGCAACAGGUUCAGGUUCAAUUCCUGGUCAGGAAG